rnacentral:rRNA from 1 species
AGGGUGUAAACGCUGCAGACUUGGUGUUGGAAGCCCUUUGGGGGCAUUCAGUGCCGGAGAGAAGUUGUUAAGUCUGCUACUUGGGGAGUACGUCCGCAAGGAUGAAACUUAAAGGAAUUGGCGGGGAGCACCGCAACGGGAGGAGCGUGCGGUUUAAUUGGAUUCAACACCGUAAAACUCACCAGGGAAGACUGUUACAUGAAGGCCGAGAUGAAGACUCUGCUAGAUUUUCAGAGAGGAGGUGCAUGGCGUCAGUGACU